rnacentral:lncRNA from 1 species
CUGAGGGCUCAAGUGGAGGAGCUCUCUCAUCAAUUGCAGGCAACUUUUAUUGCCUACGACGAAGGCAUCCAGUCAGAUGACAUAGUUUUAGCAGGCGCGGUAUGGCGAAGGCUCUAUCAGAUGCAGUACGCCUCGCCACAUCAUGUGGAGGACUGUGCUAGAUACGUCAGGCAACAUAUGGCCCAACUGGACCGAUUGCAAUUAUUGGCUGUGCGACCAGUUAAGUGGGAACUUAUCGAUAAGAUGUAAAGAGUUGUUUAUCAA